AAUGUAAGCUGUGUGGCUUUGAGAGUCCCAGUCUUGACAGUCUUCUCAAGCACUACCUGUUCUGCCACUAUCAAGGACGCACUAGUCCGUUGCCCUGUCUCCAUCCUCAGUGCGUUUGCACUUUCAGAACUCCAGGGUUUCCACCGGAUCUAUUACAUGACCUCUUGGAGGGAGUUGUACCCUAUGAGUUGGCUGUUUGCUUGAAGGAACUCAUUACAAAGAGAGUAUGUUGUUUCGCGUGUUGCUGGGUCCUGAUAAUGCCAGAAGAAUCAAUGUCACUGAAGCCCUCAACUCGGUCAGUCACUUGAAAAAUAUUCUGCAAGAUAGUCUACAGAUUGUGCAAGACUUUGAGAUUCAGUUUGAGGAUCCAGACUUUGGCAACCAGCUGUGUAAUUUGACUGACAUAUCCGAACUUCCACCAGAUAGAGCUAUAUUGAAAAUAAUCACCAAAGUAUCUGAAGAGUCAGAUAAUGCUUCUAUA